UCUUCAAAAUAUAUAUAUAUAUAUAUCUCAAAUAAUGUAACUUAAUUUCGAGGACGAAAUUAUUUAAAGGAGAGAAAAAUGUGACACUUGGCCCUUUUGGGCCUUGGACCAAGCCCAUAUAAAAGCCCAAAACCCAUAUUAAAAAAAAACAAAAAAACAGAAAAUGGGAAGAAGAUGGAGUCUUCUUCUCCGAUAAAUUCCGGACGAAAAAGAGUCCUAGAACCACUGGAGCUCUGGGAUCCUCUAUAAACAAGCCUCCCCCC
rnacentral:lncRNA from 1 species